rnacentral:rRNA from 1 species
UACGUAGGGUCCGAGCGUUGUCCGGAAUUAUUGGGCGUAAAGGGCUCGUAGGCGGUUCGUCACGUCGGGAGUGAAAACCCAGGGCUUAACCCUGGGCCUGCUUCCGAUACGGGCAGACUAGAGGUAUGCAGGGGAGAACGGAAUUCCUGGUUGUAGCGGUGAAAUGACGCAGAUAUCAGGAGGAACACCGGUGGCGAAGGCGGUUCUCUGGGCCUUACCUGACGCUGAGGAGCGAAAGCGUGGGGAGCGAACAGG